rnacentral:lncRNA from 1 species
CUGUAAUUAUAAUAAAAACAUUUAACUGAGAGUACAUUGAUCCGGUAGAGUUUCGUACCACUUGCUUUAAAUUGCACAAUCCCGUUUUUCCCACCACAUCAGUUAAAAUGUAUUGAACAUUCAUUACAACCUAUCAUUAAGGAGAUGUAUAAAGACCCAAUCUUGAAGUGUUUAGCAAUUAGGUAAAGUGGGUUGGUUCCCCAUGAGAGCGCUGCAUUUAGCUACCACAUUUCACAGAGGAGCAGGGCUGUUUAACCUCCCUGCCUAUAAAGAAGACAGGCAAGGACCUCACCACUUGAUUUCUGGCUUGAUAAUCUAGUCAAGAUAUUUCACACUUUUCUAAUGUUCACAUGUUGGAUUUCCCUGCUGCCUGGGCCCACCACCAUUCUAUAUUCUGUUUUCUUCCUUAUCCAUUCCCUAUUCAAACUCCACAUCUACCUGACAGCCACUGGGCAGUGGCCUCUGUCAGCACAUUUUAUGAGAAAGGGGAAGCAGCUGUCUAGUCCUUAGAGCCUCAAAAGACCAGUGUUAGCCAAAUGCGAAACAAGGGAAAACUUGGAAAGCUUGCAGAUCAAGACAACAAAAUCCAAAGACGCCUAGGGGAAGUCCAGGCUUCUGGCUGGAGUAGAAUUUGCUAAAGUUAGAACGAUUCUAUGGUCCGCUCUCAAGUAAAUGCUUCCAUUAGUUCAGUGAUAGGCUUUCUUGUGGAAAUCAUGUAGACUUGCAUCUGCGAACCCAGUGACCAGUGUUGUGUGAAGAAUUGGUUUCUGUGAUCAUUAAGAUCUGUUUAUUAAGAUGUGAGUUUGUGGAACUGUUGUAUUGAAAGAGUAGGAAUCCUGAGGACUCAUAAAAACAAACAAACAAACAAACAAACAAAAAACUCCACAUUUUUCACUUUGGGAGGCUGAGGCUGGAGGAUCACUUGAGCUUAGGAGUUUGAGAUCAGCCUGGGCAGCCUAGUGCGACCCCUUGUCUACAAAAAAAUUUAAAAAAUUAGCCAGGCAUGGUGGUAUGUGCCUCUAGUUCCAGCUACUUGGGAGGCUGAGGAAGAAGGAUUACUUGAGCCCAGGAGGUCAAGACUGCAGUGAGCCAAGAUCGUACCACUGCACUCCACCCUGGGUGACAGAGUAAGACCCUGUCUCAAAAUAAAAACAAAAAAUGCCACAUAUUUUCUCCUCUUGCCCCUCAACCCCCUACAAGUGCUCUCUUCUCCCACUUCUCCCCAUAGAAGGAGGGAGAGGAAAACAUACACAUCUCAACACUAGCAUUCCUCAACGUCAGCUCUUUAAUACCCUCAAGGUGGUAUUGGGCUGAUUGAAAUUCCUGAUCUCUUCUUUUGCAAGUCUUGUGUGAGGGAUCUGUACCAACCUGUGAAAUGUGGGAGUACUUGACACCUAUUGACUCCAAUGGAGCUUUGACCAAAGCUGACCCAUUUCAUCCUAUUGGGUCCGUGCAUGCAAAUUAUCAUCUUUACCACCAUCAUCAUCAUCACUACAUUGCCCAACUUGUUUUGUAUCAUAUUUAAUCAAAAUUCCAAAAGCAGGAAACAUUGCAUAAGAGAAAGUGGGUAGAGUUUCGGAAGUAGUGAUGCAAAAAAUAAAAAACAAGUAUGGAUACAUAAAAUUGGAAUAAGGCUAAAAACCACACACUUAACAUCAGUGGGCCAAAAUUUGGUUCUGAGCUUUUGAGUCAAACCAGGAGGAGUCCAACUGGUCUUAGAAUGUGAGCCAGAGGGAUAUUUUUGGAGUUCAGGUAAUCAGUAGAUUGUGAUGAUGACAGCAUUUCUCAUGUAUUUAAAUUGAAUUUGCUUUUAAAAGCUAGACAAUUAUAAUGCUAUUAAUUUCCUCUAUUGCUCACCCUUCCUUCUAAAAAGCUCCAACAUUAAAUAAAUGAACAUAAAAAUCCCCCCAAAAAAACCAAAUCUGCCCAAGACACAAAAUUAUUUCCACCUUACAUGUGAAGUUGUGAACUAUCCUACCCAUGAACAUUGUUACAGAGGCCAUUUUCAGUAAAGAGGAAACAAGAGUCCUCUCGUGGUGAACAGCAGUUUUUUGAUUGUGCAGUAUCCAUUCCAUAAUCGCACCCAAGGGGUGGGCACGGGAUCCAAGCAGGCUGAUGGGAAUUCCCUCGCUGGAAUUUGAAUCGCAGAGUGAUGUAGAGACAGAAAACGCCCAGCUGUCAUUCAUCCAGUUUCUGCACCUCGGUGGGCUGGAGUCCAGUCUCUGAGGCCCCCCACCCCUGGCUAGACCUACUGACCCUGUCCUUUGUGAGCUUGGACCUUCUUCCUUCUUCCCUCUCCUGUGAGACUACCAGCCUCUCCCUGCCCCCCUCAGCCUCCUAUAACAUCUUUUUUUACUUACGAUAAUCAGAGACUCAGUUCCUGUUUCUUGCAACCCAAGUGUUCUGACUGGUAUGCUUUCAAUACGGUUUCAGAGUGAAAUACAGUCAGUGGGAUGGUUUUAGGUGGCACACAAGGAACAUUUACAUUUUUCAGUUAUGUAAUUAUUUUAAUGCACAUUGCGAAAAACUAUAAACAGCACAUCAAACCCACAAUGUCAUGGGUAUUAUUGCUUAGAAUGACUUCAAUACAUUUAUUUAAGUCGAAAAGUGAGUCAUUUAAAAGGAAAACGCUACGUGAUAGUACAGGUGUCCCUGGCUAUGGGGGAGAAACAGUCUCAAAUGUGCUGUGCAAAUAGCUUGCAGAGGCCAUGAGGACGUCACAUUUUUGUAAGAGAGCGAGCGCUAGAUCUGAGUUUUGAGGAGUUCCUUCUACCAUCGUGGGACACGGUGAGAGAUGAGUGGUUGGGGAGGUCAGAGCUGGGGGGAAACCUCCUGCCAUGGCCCAGAGAGAGGGACCAGGCAUGGACUGGAGAGAAACGGAUGGCUGCCCUGAGCCUCACAGAUGACCCUUCAUCCUCCUCCUCCUUGGCUGGCAGGCAUAAAGCAGAUCAACCAAGGUCCAGGGGAGGAGGGGCGCUUCCAGAGCCCUCCCGGGGUUUCUUUUCUUUCUCCGUUUUCCCUUCUUCCUUCCCCAUUUCCUUCCCUUAUCAUUGAGUGUCCCCUAACCACCCCCCUUCCCCCACCUCAGGCCUGUCUGGCUUCGCUGGCUGAGCGGCCCUUGUGGUGGUUAUGGCAGGUGUGAGGCUUUAGAGGCCAUCCUGCCCUCAACAAGGGGAUGGCUGUGGAGCAUCAUCCCAAUUCUGCAGCCUCUCAUCUGAAGCUCAGGCCAUCAGGAGGGAGCCCUCAGGCUUCUCUCUGACGUUUCUUCCAUUUGUCAACCUCUCAGCUCCUCAGCUCAGGUCACAGACAAGGUGGAGGAGCCCCCAGCACGUUUAGGCAGGCUCUUUCCCUGUCACCCCUCACCACCCCGCACCAUACACUAACCUGGAGGUCUCCUGGGUACUUUGCCAAGUCAGGGAAUGAGAAAGGUCUGACCCUGUGGCUUCAGGCUAGAACUCUCCCCCAUCUACUUGGCUCUGGUCCCUGAGCCAGCUGCCCAUCCUUCCAGGGCACAGUGGAUGCAAACCCCACAAUACCCAGUGGCUUCUUUAGCACAGACAUUGUUCUGUCUAUAUCAAGACCCCAGAACCAUGUCCGUGCUAAAGAAGCCACUGGUUUUAUUGUGGGGCUUUAUCUUUUUUUUUUUU